GGGUUAUGAGCUUAUCUCACAAUUUCCUUGGAUUUGUGGGUUUAAGCUGGAAUUGGAAAUGCUUUUGGAUGUGUGUGUGUGCAGAAACAUGAGCAUACCGGCCAGAAAAAGAACAUUUAGUGGGAGCUGCCAGCAUCUGGAUGACAAUGCAGCAUGCAAGGAAAACAAGAAGAAGCCACAGAUUUUGGUCAUUUCUGCAUGCAUAGAGAGAGGCACACAUUCAAUGAAAGGCCUCAAAAACACCCUGUACUGCUGCUGCCUGCUUGGAGCAAUCUCCGGUCAUAUCGACGAAGGUUUUGGUGUGGUUUGGUCCCACAUGCCACCACCUCCCAAGGGCCAAGCAGGAACCAUGGGGACUGAAGACAGCGCUGGGGUUUGUGGGCUAAGAAAGUCUCUGUGAAGAUUUCAGUGGGAUAUUUGUGUGCACGUGUGCAUAUACAUGCAUGCAUAUAUAUAUAUGUAACUGUGCAAAAUGCUACCUCAAAAUCUGAUAUUGGAACACACCUGUUUCAGAGCAUGCUUGUAAUACAUUUGUUUAAAAGAAAUCCUCACACUCCAUGUAUUAGUCUGUUCUUUUUAGCUCUGUAAAUUCAGCUUUUGUUUUUCUAAGGACCUGCAUGGCAUUUUCUCUUCCCUCCCCCUCUCUGGGAGCAGAUAACACUGAAUUAUCCAGGAUUUAGGUAAAAUGCUACCCUGUGUGACACUUUCUGUAAGAAGCUGGAAGAAACAACCCUGGCUUGUCCUCUGUCAGAGGGCUGUGCCGGCAGGGAGGACAGAGAGAUGUUGCGGUUUUGGGGUGCCACAGCCUCAGCACCUCCUAAUCUGCUCCACACCUCUCAGGCUUCAACAGAUCUGAAAUACAGCCUUGAUGAGCCCACCGGAGCACAGUUUCCAGGCCCAAACCUCAUCUCCAGCUUUCCCUAAAGUAACCCAGGGAGGGGCUGGGUCUCCUCUGCACUUGAGAACCCAAUCGAGGGCUCAGGGCAAGGACCCUGCCACGACCCCAGGGGGCUGCAGGCAGAGAGCAGAGACGGGGGGGAAGACACAAUGAGAGGGGAAAGACACAGCGAGGGGGAAAAGACACAGCCAGGGGGGAAAGACACAGUGAGGGGGGAGAACAGGGCCUUCCCCUGGCUGCUGGAGGCAUCCUGCCAGCAAAGAGCGCGGCCUCCCGUGGAGAGUAAAUGAAAGCCUCAUUCUGAGGGAGUGGC
rnacentral:lncRNA from 1 species